rnacentral:lncRNA from 1 species
UUUAGGUUGGCUGCAGCAAAGCCUGAGCCCAUUUCCAGGCGGUUCUGGGGAUGCCUCCCUCCGUUUCCCGGAAAACUAGGCAAAGGUGGAGAACCAGGAACAUAGCAGAGGGGGUCAGUGAGGUGGCUGCCCCCUGCGAAUGGCUUCAUUUGGGCUUUGGCAGCGGCAGAAGUACUUUAAUUUGAAACAGCAGUGACGUGAACAGGGACAAAAGUCGUGGUAAAUCAUGGGGC